ACAUUGCAAGUCGAGCGAAUCGAUGGGAGCUUGCUCCCUGAGAUUAGCGGCGGACGGGUGAGUAACACGUGGGCAACCUGCCUAUAAGACUGGGAUAACUUCGGGAAACCGGAGCUAAUACCGGAUACGUUCUUUUCUCGCAUGAGAGAAGAUGGAAAGACGGUUUACGCUGUCACUUAUAGAUGGGCCCGCGGCGCAUUAGCUAGUUGGUGAGGUAAUGGCUCACCAAGGCGACGAUGCGUAGCCGACCUGAGAGGGUGAUCGGCCACACUGGGACUGAGACACGGCCCAGACUCCUACGGGAGGCAGCAGUAGGGAAUCUUCCGCAAUGGACGAAAGUCUGACGGAGCAACGCCGCGUGAACGAAGAAGGCCUUCGGGUCGUAAAGUUCUGUUGUUAGGGAAGAACAAGUACCAGAGUAACUGCUGGUACCUUGACGGUACCUAACCAGAAAGCCACGGCUAAC
rnacentral:rRNA from 1 species